rnacentral:rRNA from 1 species
GACAGAGGGUGCAAGCGUUGUUCGGAAUUACUGGGCGUAAAGGGCGCGUAGGCGGUCCGCUAAGUUCGGCGUGAAAUCCCCUGGCUCAACUGGGGAACGGCGCUGGAUACUGGUGGACUCGAGUACCGGAGAGGAGAGUGGAAUUCCUGGUGUAGCGGUGAAAUGCGUAGAUAUCAGGAGGAACACCGGUGGCGAAGGCGGCCCACUGGAUCGGUACUGACGCUGAGGUGCGAAAGCGUGGGGAGCAAACAGG